UACGUAGGGUGCGAGCGUUAAUCGGAAUACUGGGCGUAAAGCGUGCGCAGGCGGUUCGUUAAGUCAGAUGUGAAAGCCCCGGGCUCAACCUGGGAACUGCAUUUGAAACUGGCGGGCUUGAGUGUGGCAGAGGGGGGUGGGAAUUCCGCGUGUAGCAGUGAAAUGCGUAGAUAUCGAGAGGAACACCUGCGGCGAAGGCGGGUAGCUGGGCCGACACUGACGCUGAUGCGCGAAAGCCAGGGAGCGAAGCGGG
rnacentral:rRNA from 1 species